rnacentral:lncRNA from 1 species
GUGUCAUGCAAGAAGGAGGCGGCGGCGGCGGCCGGAGCUGGAGGGGGAGGAGGGGAGGAACCUGAUCCUCGGUAGCGAAGGGCUGGAGGCAAACACCGAGCUCCCCCUGAGCCGCCUGGGAGCAGGGAGGGUUCUGCUACCCUGAGGGGCCCUCCCCGCGGGGCAGAGGGGUUUCCUCAGCAGUGCCCCGGAGCAGGGACCGCGCCAGCCAGCAGAAACAGCUAGUUGUUGUCUGCAGUGAAGAAUAAUUGGAAGCAUGGUGCCUGUUUCUUUUCCUGUGGGAGGAAGUCACAGCAUCUACUUCUGAAUCUGUGCUUGCCUUGAGGAAAAACGGCAUGGCACAGGAAUGUGGACGCUUUCAACCAGAGGAUUCUGUACGACGGUGUCGGCACACAAGGAGUGUUCCACUGACUGACCUCUUUUUGUUUUCAAAUGAAGAGGAGCCAAGAAUAGGACAGCUUGGGAAGGUGAGCUGCGUAUAGCUCGUCAGGCUGAGCUCAUCCUCGUCUACGGCCAAACGUUGGUUUCUCAUUUCUAGAAGAUGAAAGAUGUGAUGACUCAGGAAAAACUUGCUGCUCGAGAUGUGAGUCUUCAGAUGUUCCUGCCGCCAUAUCUGACAGCUGCUGCCAAGAUUCCCUGGUGGGAUGGACUCUUAUACCUCAACAACCAGAAGCCCAAGUAAACUCUUCUAUAAAUUGAAUGACUCAUGCUUAAAAAAAAAAACAAAAAACAAA